AUUGAACGCUGGCGGCAGGCCUAACACAUGCAAGUCGAGCGGAUGAAGGGAGCUUGCUCCUGGAUUCAGCGGCGGACGGGUGAGUAAUGCCUAGGAAUCUGCCUGGUAGUGGGGGAUAACGUCCGGAAACGGGCGCUAAUACCGCAUACGUCCUGAGGGAGAAAGUGGGGGAUCUUCGGACCUUACGCUAUCAGAUGAGCCUAGGUCGGAUUAGCUAGUUGGUGGGGUAAUGGCCUCCCAAGGCGACGACCCGUAACUGGUCUGAGGGGAUGAUCAGUCACACGGGAACUGAGACACGGUCCAGACUACUACGGGAGGCAGCAGAGGGGAAUAUUGGACAAUGGGCGAAAGCCUGAUCCAGCCAUGCCGCGUGUGUGAAGAAGGUCUUCGGAUUGUAAAGCACUUUAAGUUGGGAGGAGGGGCAGUAAGUUAAUACCUUGCUGUUUUGACGUUACCAACAGAAUAAGCACCGGCUAACUUCGUG
rnacentral:rRNA from 1 species